rnacentral:rRNA from 1 species
CCAGUGAAUGGCAAGACUAGGAAUAUCUGUACUUUGUAUAUGAAAAAAACUUUUCAUCUAAGUGAAAAGACUUAGAUAAUAAAGGAAGACGAAAAGACCCCGCGGAACUUUACCUUUUCUCAUACCUCUGUCUACAAACUUAAAAGUCUAUAAGGUUUGAUUGGGGCAAUCUUGGAACCAACAAAGCUUCCAACGACUUACAAUAUUUAUACAAAAUUUGUUAAAGACUAAAAAGUAGUUACCCCGGGGAUAACAGCGUAAUCCAACUAAAGAGUACACAUCGAAAGUUGGGUUUGCGACCUCGAUGUUGGCUUAAGGAUAUCCACAUAAGUGCAACCGCUAUGACAGGAUAGUCUGUUCGACUAUUAUACCCUUACAUGAUCUGAGUUCAGACCGGA